AUGGCCCUGAGCUUAAACACAUGCUGUGCAUUCAUUUUGUCCUGGCCACCUGUGUAAGGCUAUUGUGAGCCAUCUUAAGCAUGAACUUAUAUGGAGAACAAAAGUUUCUUCUCUCUCAACUUUUUUCUUUUCUUAAUGACAAUAACAGGAGUAAUUUUAAAAUAUUUUUCAGAAUGCUCUGUAUUGCUGAUGGCUCAUCUCAGAGCAGUAGGAUUCUCAAUGAGAGGAUGCCUGUGGCUCCCUUUCAGAAAGAUUUUUUGCCUCUGGAACUGGAGAAUGCUGAUCAAAAUGGUUUGCAGCUUAAACUGGAGCAAAAAGUUUUAACUCUACAGAAAAUUAAAAGUGUAUUUUCCAGUUGUGAAGAGAUGCAGUGAACUUUUCCUGACUCACCCAUCAGGCCCGCUGUUCUGCUUCUCAAUGAGGCGAUAUGGAAGCCAGGGAAACCAUCCAAAUGGACAGAUAAAGACACUCAGAAUAUGGAUGAUAAAUUAUGCUGGAAACCAGCAAGGUUCAUAAUAUUCUACAUGAAGUUGUGGAACUGAAGCUCGGAAACAGAGGAUCCGUGAUGAAAAAUGUGUCAACUGUUUUGAGAUGCAGGUUAUCUGUCGGGAUAAAUCCAAGCCCCCAAAGGAACAGCAGCCAAGAGCUGUCAGAGGGCACACGGGUGAGUCGGAGAUGUACAGCUGGGGCAGUGGGCUGCUGUCAUUGACCUCCACAUUUACUGCUCUGCUUCAAMGGGGACAAGGUUUACCCGGCUCUUUGCAAGCAGGAAAAGGCCACACACAAAGGAACUUUCAAGUCAGUGUGGGAGAGAGGUACAAGACAGCUUCAAAUAAUUUCUGGCCCAUUCUCAGUUGCACUCACAGGUGGCAUGUGUUGUAUGAUGCUCUGCUGAGCUGGCAGCAGUGGCUCUCAGAAGCCAGUCACUUUUUGGAAGGUCAACUUUCAUGACUUCAGCAGAAGGAAAGUGCCAGAACAUCCAAAAGGAUGCAGAUAGUGCUUUUUAACAAAUGUGGUAAUAUUAAAUGAAUAAACAACAAAAUAAUGGGUUCCUCAUUGAAUUUAUCUUUACUUGAAGAAAAUAUUUGUCUGACAAAAUAAACAUGUUGAAGAAAAAAGUACCAGGAAAAUGGGCUUCUUAAAAUCAAUAUUAUUUUGCUAUGAAUAUUCAAAACUUAAAAUCAAAACACUGUUUCCGUUAAAAUCUGGGUGAUUUCUAAAUGUACUUCCAGAAUUUUCUGAUAACAUGCACAGUCCCUAAAAUGAUAUUAAAUUWAAAAAAAAAAUAGAAAAAGGAGCUUUGACUUGGGUAAGAAUGUUUGUGAAGGGAAUACAUGUUCUGCUGAUCAGCUCUAGCUACCAUAAAGCCCCUCUUGUUUCCAUGACUCUUAUGCUUUAAUGUAGCCCAUUUGGAAAUCCUGAGGAGGCAAAAUGUCUUCCUUCAGAGAAACACCAAUUUUUUCAGACUCCUUCUUAGAAGAGAGAUACUUGGAGUGUUUACACUCAUAGCCUGUACUUAAAAGUUCAAAUACAUUUCACUAACUCGGAAACAAGUUAUAUUUCUGCAGCUUAAGGUUUCCUUAUCUUACAUCUGAAACCCCAAAUCACUUCUACUUUU